rnacentral:lncRNA from 1 species
CUGCAGAAUGCAGUUGAGAUGCAUAGAAAAAGUCUGGGCCUACUUACACCUAUUUGCUAGCAUGUCUUCGAAGAAUGUUACUAGAGAGAAGCAGGUACAGCCCUGUGAUUAUUAUACUUUGAACCUGAUGCUGUGCUGAACACAUAAAAGAGCACUUAUGAUGAGAGAUUGGAAAGAGAAUGAAAAAAAGGGAGCAAGAUCAUCCAGAGAACCAUGAAGUAGUGACCUUGAGUGAUGAGAUGAAAAGUGUCAGGACAGGAUGAGACCUGUAUACUUGGAAUUUUUUCUAGAAAUAUCUAGAAAACAAAGCAAGAGAAAUAGAAGUAUUUGUAGCUUU